CAGAGAAUAGUUUAUUAAAAAUUUUAAUUUUGGAGAUUAAAGAUAGGAGGAAUUUCUUUCUCUGA
rnacentral:tRNA from 1 species